AAACGUCAUUCCAAUUAUAUAGGUCAAAAACCUAGGGCGCAGAGAAAUCAUCUGACUUGUUCAUGGUCACACAGAACCCAAUCCUGUCGCAUUGCAAGUACCCGGUUUUUCCGCCAUUCCACCUCACAAGUAUUAGUAUGUACAUAUAUUACUAUAACUUGUUUGAGCUAGAAAAGAAAAGAAGAAAUUCCCGCAUGAGAGAACAGAGGGCCUCAGAAAUACCUGUUAUUUCUGAAUUCUCACUGCAAAAUUUCCCCAGCUCAGUACACAGCAAACGGUUUGCCCUUGAAGCUGCACCCCAGCGUGUGAGGCACCCUGUUGCAAAAUCAAUAAAUGGCUUUACUUCAAUGUGACCAGGGCUUAUAGACUAAGACAAACAAUAACGCAAUGAGCUCGCCGCGUCUAAGGUGCACUUUGCAUACUUUUCUCAUGGAAGCUCCACAUCUCUUUGCUGUAGGUCACUAUUGGUCAACAAAAUGGGCAAAUCAAAUUUAAAGAGGGAGCAGAAGGCAGAAGGAAAGAAGAGAGGAGAAUAAAAGGACCACAGGCAAGCCGACUUCAGAGGUCAUCUCUUCAUCCAUGCUGGUGAGCACUUGGAAGGAGAGCAUGAACUAAUGACCAUCCGAUCCGUGGCAGGCUGCAGAACAGAACGUGAGGGAGAAAGGAGCCGUAGAUGCUUUCUUAAGUGACCUGCAGAAAAAGGGAGGCUCUUGGGCCUGAAGUUUAAAGAAAUAAGUGAAGGAGGUCAAAAGGAAGAUCAGCCCUGAGCUAACAUCUGCUGCCAAUCCUCCUCUUUUUGCUGAGGAAGCCUGGCCCUGAGCUAACAUCUGUGCUCAUCUUCCUCUACUUUAAAUGUGGGACACCUACCACAGCAUGGCUUGCCAAGAAGUGCCAUGUCUGCAUCCAGGAUCCAAACCGGUGAACCCUGGGCUACCAAAGUGGAACGUGCUCACUAACCAUGGUGCAACCUGGCCAGCCCCUCCUUCUCCAUUUUUAGUAGAUUAAUAGCAAAUCACCUACUUCUUGUAUAAUUCUCAAACAAGGCCAAAAAAUAAAUGUAUUAUGGAA
rnacentral:lncRNA from 1 species